AGGAGCCCCAACAGCAGAGGAGACAACAGGUGCAGCAGGCAUGGACGGGCCACAGCCCUCAGACAGGCUGGGAGGAGAGAAAAAUGAGGCUUUACUGAAAUAGUAGGAGAUGGAGAUGCAAUUAAAGACUGGAAAUCCACACGAAUUGGAGGAAGUCCUUUCACAUGAUGCUUCCAUGAUCAGGAGGAUGCUGACAGAUUUCACAGGAAAGAGGAGGCACCGUCCCUCAGAGGAACAACUCGAUGCCCAUCAACUAACAUACAAGCGCUUCAGGAGCCGGAUCCAAAGGAACAGCAGACAGGGUCCGGCUGUGAGUACACCGGUGGCCCCUUGGCGGCAGCAAAGCUUCGAGUUUGAUCCAGUCUGUCAGCAGCUGCAGCUGGAUUCUCCGCCGAAGAACCAUGAAUCAGCGCAGAGAGUCCUUCAGGAUAAGCCUCAAGAGGCGGCACUGGCUCGAGGUGUGUCCCCCUGUGAGGCUUUUAAACCAUCGAACACACCAUGCUGUGUUGAUGCCAGCAGACUGCCUGCCAUAAAAAAUGCCACUGAACCGGAAUGGGUGUGGACAGCUGCAGUAAAAGAAGGGAGAAUACCCCAACAGGCUGGUUCUGGUGACAGAAGACAUGAUUUGCAGCCAUUUGAUGUCUUGAACGAAGCCCCUGUGAAUCUGCAGGGAAAGUCAGUGAUGAAGUUGUUGGCGCCAUCGCUGCUGAAUGACUACUACACUAAUCUCCUCGACUGUAGUUGUGAUGGUUUGGUUGCAUUAGCUCUGGGCUCCUCUGUUUACAUUUGGAAUUCAGAAACUCGUGCCCUGGUGGGACAUUUGGAUCCACAACUAGGACGGCCCCACCGUCACUCCAUCUCGUCUCUGUGCUGGAGCAGAGACGGCAGAGCUCUCUGCAUCGGGACCAGACGAGGGCAGAUACAGUUGUGGGAUGUUGAACAGAAGCAGAGCGUGAGAUGUCUGCUGUCACACCUGUCUGUGGUGGGAGGCCUUUCCUGGAAGCAGCAGUUACUCAGCAGCGGCUCUGUUCUCGGACACAUCCAUCACCUCGACCCUCGGGCCUCUACACCUUUGGUUGGUGCAGCCGUCCAGAAGGAGGCGAUCUGCAGCCUGCAGUGGUCACCGGAGGAUGACUGCUUGGCCAGCGGCUCCACCGAGGGUCACCUGCGCAUCUGGGAUGGUGACAUCACAGGGGUCAAAAGGUCACGUCAGCCAGUCACUACAGUGAAACAGCCCAGCGCUGUCAAGGCGAUGGGAUGGUGCCCAUGGCAGAGACAGGUGAUCGCAACGGGAGGAGGAUGGAAUGAUGGAGAGCUGAGAAUGUGGGACACACUUUCAGGCUCUUGUUUGACGUCGAUCAGCACAAAUUCACAGAUCUGCUCCCUUCGAUGGGCUGAAAAGAAGCGAUAUCUGAUUACAAGUCACGGCCUUCCUCAUCACCAAGUCGCCCGCUGGAGAUGGGAGUUUCCCUCCAUCAGCCCAAUCACCCAGCUAACAGGGGUAGAGGGGCGAUCUUUCUCUGAAUUGUAACCACUGAGUGGAGAUAAUUUCCGCCUUUGCGAGGGCUGUGGUUGUGGUUGUUUUGAGAAGCUACCUUCAAGUUGUCUGAAGGUUUGAAGAAGUCACUCUCAUCGAGUCCUGCACUUGGCCGUAAACCCUGACAACACUCAGAUCUUCUCCGCUGGAGCAGAUCAGCGCUUUCACAUCUGGGAUCUGUAGAUAUUAACAUCAUUCAACAUGACUGCUGAAUGUUGUUGGCAUCUGGUCAGUACCCAUUGUACUUUCUUUUUUCCCCUUCGUUGUAAGAAACUGCUCACGUCCUGCCCCCUAGACUUAACCGACCACAACGCCAAGCUGUCUUACCAUCAGUCCACAACAGCUGUCAGGCUUCAUGUCGGACAAAAUAUUUCAAUUUUUAAAGAUACAGCAGAAAUAAUGCAUUAUUUUAAAAUUACAUAUGGUUUUACUGAAUAUUGUGCAGCUUUCAUACAGUGUCUUCUUCAGCCGACUUGCACUUUAGUAAUAAAAAAUACCUCAGCAUCAAUCAUUUAUAAUCUGCUCACAUCAUCACAAACAUGUUUAAUAUGAGUGAUUCAAGUAACAUUUGAAAAAUAUUGAUGUCACACUUGCAUUAUGUUAACAUUUGAAAGUAUAUUUUUGCAAAGUAACCUCAUGGAAAACAGCAUUUCAACACAAAACAACACUUUUACCAGCUCAAUUAAAAUCUUGGAAUUUUAUUUCA